rnacentral:miRNA from 1 species
ACAUGUUUUAUGUAUUCGUAUGUAUAUAUGUGUGUGUGUGUGUGUGUGUGUGUAUGUGUAUACCAACACAUAUAUAAACUACAUACAUACACCCUUU